rnacentral:rRNA from 1 species
GACGAACCGUGCAAACGUUAUUCGGAAUCACUGGGCUUAAAGCGCGUGUAGGCGGGACGGCACGUCGGUCGUUGAAAUCCCCCGGCUCAACCGGGGAAGGGCGCCGAUACGACCGUCCUGGAGGGGCGUAGGGGGAGCCUGGAACUUCCGGUGGAGCGGUGAAAUGCGUUGAGAUCGGAAGGAACGCCCGUGGCGAAAGCGAGGUCCUGGACGCCUACUGACGCUGAGACGCGAAAGCCAGGGGAGCGAACGGG